UCACAGUCCAGAAAGCUAUUAUUGUUUCUGUUUCAGUGUGAGAGAGUCACAGACUUUGGGACAGGUUUCAGAGCAGGUUUAUUAUGGAUCCUGGAUCUCUACUUCAAUGUUCAUUACCUGGAUCCAUUUGGCUAAUAGGUUCCCCGUGGAUGGGCUUGCUUCCAAGCACAUACAUGGAAGAUGCAAAGGUGAGUGGGCGUGUUCAUUGCCUGAAUCCGUUUGGCUAAUAGGUCCCCUGUGGAUGGGCUUGCUUCCAAGCACAUACAUGGAAGAUGCAAAGGUGGGUGGGCUUGGUGCGGGACAGGAAGAAGACCAAAAGCAGACAAGUGUCCGACCCCUCCCCUGACCAGGAACUGCUACAGGAGAGGGUACGGGAGGUAGAAUCCAUGGGAAACUCCAAGGUCAUCAGCUGAACACAGGAGGCAUAGGUCAAAGGAUCUGGAGAUGCAGGGGUUGAAGGCUGCUCUGAGCUACCUCUGGGAGGAAGGGAGGGAAGGAAUGAGAAGGAAACCCUGCCUGCCCCUGGCCCAUGCCAGCUGACCACCGACAUGCAUCAGUCUACGAGCUGACACAGCCUGGGCUCAGGAUGGGCUGGCUCGGGUCCCUCAAUCCUCAGUGGGACAGCUGGCCCCAGGGCUAAGAGACAGGCUGAGGGAGAUGAGAGGGAAAGCUGCCCCACCCAGGUCAUCCCCUCCUUGAGCAGACAGCCCUUCAGAACUGCUAAAAAACCCACUAAUGGGGUUGGAAGACCUGCCAUGGAUGCACUAAGUCAUAGAGAUAUGUAAAAUAACAUUCACUUUUAAGUUCAGAGCUGUCAUCUCAGGAAGUGGGGAGAGCUUCCCUGAAGAAGACUGAGGGGAGGGCAGGCCAUGCUGAAAAGGGAGACAUGGCUCUCCAGAUUGGGGACCUGCAGCCCCCUUCCAGGGCAGGACAUCAUCCUCGCAUCACACGAGAUCCAUGGAAGUGUUCCAUCAGGGCCAGAUGUUUGUCUCGAGAAGGCUACCCUGGCAUCGGACUGCACAGGGCACCAGGGACGAGGGCCAGAUGGAGGACGGACAAUACCCCGGAGGCCAUGGGGCAAGAGCAGAGGCACACGACCUUGAAGAUGAUGAUGAAAAGCAGGAGGACGGACAAUACCCCGGAGGCCAUGGGGCAAGAGCAGAGGCACACGACCUUGAAGAUGAUGAUGAAAAGCAGGAGGUGGCAGCAUGGAGCCGGCCCGAAAGUGCCAUGGGAGCAGUGCCCACAGCUACACUGACUGGGGGCCUUCUGUGCCAGGUGUGGCUGACUUCAGUGGGCUCCAGACUAGUCCUGACCACAAGUCUAGGAAGUGUGCACCACCCCCGGCCUCCUCUCCCCUUGCAGCUGCUAGGAAUCACGGUCACAGACCCUGGUCAGCUUUCGUGGAAACCAAGCAGUGGCUCCCCCGCAUGCUGCACCUCUGGUGGUGGUCCAGUGCGACCCUCGUGCCUGGCCAGACACUGAUGUCUACCUGUCUCCACACAAAUCCACAGACAGGAGGGUGUCCCUGAAUUCCACAGCACCUGAUGAAACAGAUCCACGGAACCCAACACCCAGUGGGUCACUCGGGACCUCACCUAUGAGGUCAUGGAGCUCACCAUACCCUAUUUCCGUCACUUCCCACAGAAAGCCUGGUUCUGAUCCCCCACAAUACCAUACAUCCUGGUUGCUGACCUGGGGUCAUGCCAUGAACCCACAUGGCACCUUUCUUUUAGAGAAGCCUAUGCCUACACCUCCUAGAAAAUAUUUCUAAUGAAGUACAAGCCCAUCAGGACUACGGUGUGAACGGUAGCACACAGCCUGCAUGGUAGUAGUCAGUAAUUCUAACAAGGGUUAACCCCACCCCCCGUCUCACAAAACCUUCCUCCGUCCCCACGGAACUCAUGGUCUGCCCUCAGAAAACCCUCCAGGAAACAAACCUUUCAUCUGAAUGCUCUCUUCACCUUCUGCUACAAAUCUUGUCCAACCACAAUGAUAUGAAACUAGAAAUCAGUCUCAAGAAAAAAAUGGGACAGUCAAAAACAGGUGGAGAUUGGGGGGCCUGGGUGGCUCAGUCAUUAAGGAUCUGCCUUCAGCUCAGGUCGUGAUCCCAGGAGCCUGGGAUCUAGCCCCGAAUCAGGCUCCUUGCUCAGUGGGAAGCCCGCUUCUCCCUCUCCCACCCCCCUGCUUGCGUUCCCUCUCUCGCUGUCUCACUCUCUGCCAGAUACUUAAAUAAUCUUAAAAAAAUAUGUGGAGAUUUAACAACAUGCUACUGAACAACCAACAGUCAAAGAAGAAAUCAAAAAAAAAUUUAGAAGUACCUUGACACUGAUGAAAAAGACAACCUACAAAAACUUAUGGGAUGCAGCAAAAGUAGCUCUACGGGGGGGACGUUCAUAGAAAUUCAAGUCUUCAUCAAUCCAUGAGAAUGCUCUCCAAUAAACAACCUGAUUUCUGUGGUAAAGAAGUAGAA
rnacentral:lncRNA from 1 species